rnacentral:lncRNA from 1 species
CCACACCGACAGCACAUAGCGAAGUAGUUGCUUGCCUUCAGGCCUUUGUUCAAAGGGCUGUUAUGAGAACCAGCUAUGCUUGCCAUGAAUUUCACAGCAACCUCUAGAAAACCUGAGGGGAAACUACUGGCUGAAGUUAAGUGCAAAGGACGGCGUUGGCUGCACUUGUGUGCGCCAUGCCUAGCGGACACCGGCAGAGUAAGGACCCAUGCCUGGAAAACCCAAGUGUGCCCCACAACAGAAAGAGGCAGGGAUAACCAACACCUUCCUUGAUCCCGUGUCGGACAAGAUGUACCGGUCACUUAGCAACCUUCAUUUCUGUGAGACAUACAGAUGGUUAAACACCAGCAGCAGGCUUCAGACCAGGGACUAGAUUUUUCUUUCGCGUUAGUUCUGACACUUCAAAAGCUUCUUACAUUUUACAUAGCUUCUUGCAUUACAUCCUUGCAAGAGGGAGGAGAGUUAUCCAUCAAUUACUGUAAGGAAGGCAGGAGUAACCCAUUUGGUGACAAAUAUUCCUCUGCUUGUGGGCAAAAGAAUGUGAUGCAACAGCUGAAGAUACACCACUGACAACCUUAAGGAAGCCACGUUCACAGAACAAAAUGGAGAUUUGCUUAGUGAUGCAGAUUGCUCUUCUUAAAAGCAGUAACAGCAAUGCAAGACAAGUGCUGCUGCAAGGCAACAAAGUUCAGAGCAAGACUUACUUCCAGCAUCAGUACACUUGGAACCAGUCCUGGACUAGGAGCAGAGGAGAAUCCUGUAUGGGACCUUUUAUAUACUGGGAGAAGAGGCAAGUGGGGUCCCAGACUGUUCACACAUCAGUAUUUUUCACUGUUACUCUGCCCAAAUCUCUUGUGAAACUUUGCAAGCCAAAACUGGAGAUGUUUCAGAGGAUCUCAGGUACUAUAGGGAAGAGAGGAAUAUUCCUUACAAAUAUUUCUCAAAAGGAAUCCACAUUCAAUUGUUUCCCAUCCC